CUCGAUUACAAUUUGUAGUAUCGUGACCAAAAUUACAAAGACAAACUCAAAUACAGCAUCUUAUUCCUGCUUAGCCUCAAUCAAACAAGCCAGCAGAGCCGUUUGAAAGGUACUAAAAGCAAAAUUACGAUACAACUCUACUACAAUUUACAGAAUAUACAGGAUGACAAAGGUUUGAAGUUUACUUUUUUCGGGUCGACACGAAAUCAUAUACUUAUUCCACCACAUUUAAUCCCUCCUCUACUUAUUCCACCACAUUUAAUCCCUCCUC
rnacentral:misc_RNA from 1 species